AGAUAUACAAUGAACAAAUCGGAGAAUUAAUUGAUCCAACCCAACGAAACCUAGAGAUAAGGGAUGAUACCAAACAUGGAUUUUAUGUUGAGAAUUUGACCGAGGAAUAUGUGACCAGUUAUGAGGACAUAACCCAAAUAUUAAUUAAGGGGCUUUCAAGUAGGAAGGUCGGAGCAACAAGCAUACAUUCAGAAAGUUCACAAUCCCAUAUUGUGUUUACAUGCGUCAUCGAGUCCCG